GUGUUGAUUUCUGGUUUCAUCGCACCAUCUCGCCAUCGGUACCGCUACCAUCGUCGUCGUCGAACCCGUGCCAUUCAUUGCUGGUUGCACCGCCGCCGAAGCUCCCCUCAUCGCCAUCGAUGCCGAUCUGACCAGAGGAGAAGAGGGAGAACGACAUGAGGAGAGAGAGACAGAACGCGUGCAAAGAGAGAGAAGGCGUCGCGAGGUGGUUCCGCCGCCGUUUCUGCCGCCGCUGCUCUCGUUACUAUUGUCAUUGGUGGAGCUCGCCACCGCUGGAGGUGAACCGGCAUCACGUCCUUGCUACCCAGUGCCACUGCUACUCUGUUUCCACGUUUUUCCUUUGUUACAAUAAGUACCCCUAUUUAGAAAUCCUUACUGCUUGCGAAUAUGUGUUCUAUUAUAAGUUAUUGAGUUUUACGCGACGUUAUUAUCUCAGGAUUGAGUUUUGGUUGUUGCAUGCUAUGUUUGAUGAACUAUUGCUGUUGCGAGGAUGGACUGAGUUGACGCUGCUGUUGCGAAUUAAGGGUUUUAAAGGAACUUUGUCGUGUGGUUAAGUCGCGGUCGAGGUAGGAAUUUUUUUUAAAACUUAUUUUAUAUCGCAGAAUUGUUAUAAAUAGAUAUUGGAGUAAAAAAUAUAUUUUAUUUUAUGAUUUUGUGAGUCUUAUGGAUUGAAUUGAGUUGUUCUAGAUGAUUGUAAUUGUUUGUCUAGUGAAAUUAUUGACUGUUUGAGAAGGUUGAAUAUUGUAAGUUAUUGAUUUUGUUAAAUUGGCGGUUGUCGAAUUGAUUUUCUUGAGAUUUGGAAAUGUUUUAUUAUUGAAAAUGAGUUGACUUUCUAGCGUGAUAAAACAUGGUCUAUUGAGCUUCAAAUUUCAAACAUCCCUAUAUAAGGGGCUGAAGUUUCUUUUUGUAACAACCCGAGUGUUUGAAAGCAGCUAAGUAAGCACAAACUGUUUGAGAGCAAAUUAAUCCCUGCAUAUAGGGCAGAGGAGUUUGAUAUGUUAAUGGAUGUUAAUGCAAAAAAGAUUUAGUGGAACUUCAAGGUUUAUGUUGUCCAUCUAUGGGAAGUUCCAAGCAAGUUCAAUGCCAAUGAGAUCAAUGGCAUAGAAAUGGUUCUUCAAGACAUUAAGGUAAGUUUGUAGUAACACAUAGUCUUUUUUUUUGUGGUUUUUGGUUUUAAACUAUACUCUCGUGCCUUUAUCUUUUAUUUUUGUAGGGUAGGAGAAUACAAGCUUUUAUUUCUAAACCUUUGGUCCGAAUGUGGAGAGGAAAUAUUGUGGAGUUCAACAUGUACAUUAUGACUAAUUUUAUAGUGGUUGAUAAGAAGGAGAAAACAAGGACAACCACAAAUAGAUGGUCCAUAAAUUUCUCACAUAGGACCAUUGUCGUUCUAGUAUCUCGACCAAGUUUUUCUCUUGAAGCUUUACUCUUCAAGCCAUUUCUGGAGCUGUUGGCUACUGACAAGCUCAGCGAUGCUAUCUUAAUAGAUGUGAUAGGGGAGGUGGUUGGUAAGGAAGAUACAAGAGAACUAAUAACUCGCAAAGGAAGGGGGACUAAAAGACUGGCUGUUAUGAUUGAAGACCUUGAGUAAGUUAAUCGGAAAAGUAAGAACUGAGCCACUAAUAGUAGUAGCCAAUGUUCUGAAAAUCGGACCGAACCGGCCGAUCGAAUCGGUCCAACUGGAAACUAGUGAUGAAAACGGUCCGGUCUGCUGCCUAUAACCGCUCGAUGGCAAACCAUUCAGAAACCGUUGAACUGGCCAGGAAUCGGCCAGUUGGACUGGACCGGUAACCGGUUGGUUCUAAAGAAACGACGCCGUUUUGUAUUUUUUAAGCGAAAAAAUAAAGAAAACCAACCCGUCAGCAACUCAGCACCCACUUUCCCCCAACACCCCCUAUCAUUUAUGCACUCACCCCCUGUUCUUUUCUUCCCCUCAAAGAGCCAUUCUCUCUCGUACCCUACUCGAUGGAGCAUGCAUUAGGUGGCAGGAAACUGCUUUAUGCGAAGGGGCGAAGCGCUAGUUCCUCAAUUGCUGUUCUCACGCGUGAAGUGUAGCAAGCAAAAAAGCAAAGCAAAUUAGUACCAAACCAAAAUCCUAGCCCUAGGUUCCUCCUCAUCAUGUGUGCCACAGUGCCGCCACCGUCCAUGUUGUCGGCACCUCCGCUUCUUCCUCUUCUCCAUGUCCGGAACCCAGGCGCCCUCUUGUAGCUCGGCACGUCAUCCCCAUCCUCCUUGGCUUCUCUGUUCGAGGCUUGGAGCAGCUCGCCGUCUGGUCCCCGUUUGUCAUUGUCUUGUCCGUUGUUGUCCAUGUCUCCGUCGAAGUUUUUUCGGUUGAACUACCGGUUAGACUGAUUGGACCAAUGAACCAGUGAGUAGAGCGGUUUGAUAGCCGGUCCGAUUCUCAAAACCUUAGUUAUAGCACAAAUUUUCAAGCCUAGUAGGUGAAUGAAGGCUUUUGAGAAAACCUUCAAAUUCAGCUAGGAUUAGUCAGGUUUUCUCUCAUGGUUCUCAGUUUGGUGUGGAUGAACUAAAAAUGGGAGAUCUGGUGGUCAAUACAAUAGAAAAAGUGCUAAACUUAACACAGAGAAAUAAAGAUAAAGAGCCUCUUCACUAUGAUCUUGAAAUUAAAAGGACUCUCUGGCGACAAAGAAAGCAAGCUAGAGAACAGAGGAUUGAAGAAGAUAGUGAAGUAGAAAUUGAAGAAAUUGAAUUUGACAUGGCAGAGAACAAUAAUGAUGUUAGCCACAAUGCUCUCAAUGCUCAGCUAGUUAGAUGGACUCUUGGAUCUUUCACUACCACAAAUCCUAGGUAUUGUGGCAGUAGCAUUGUGAUGGAGGGCGAUCAUCGGUCUAGAAUUUAUCAAUGAGAAUUGCGUUGCAAGUAUAGUUCCAAACUGACAACUAGCUCUCAAUCAAAGUUUAAUUUGGUUGUCACAAGUUCAACCCAAUAAACAUUAACCGAGAGUAUUGCUCCUGGUUGUCCUCAAGAGAAUGGAUAAUAGUGUGUAUCAAAGUUGGUUAGAAAUCCAGGGUUGAAAGACAUAAGCAUGAAUUUAAACUAGUAAAGCUUAACUCUUGGCUAAGGCAUAGGAAUUGAGAUCACUAUCAUUGUCUAAUAACCAUAUAUUGACAAUUAUGAGGCACCAA